rnacentral:lncRNA from 1 species
CAGGAGCAUUAUCUUGCUUUAUAGGGCAAGUCCAGGAAGCAGUGUGUGACAAAGAAUGAGUACCCAGUGCUGGAGGGCAUGGAGCAAUCCAUCGGCAGCUCCCGGUGGUGAUGGAAUUACUAAUGAGAUGUCUGCAAUGUGUCAAGUCUUAACAUCAGAUUGGACACCACCACCAUUUCCUGUUCCACACUGAUCUUCACAUGGUUCUUGCUUUUUAACACAACCUCUGAAAACCGAGCCUCACAAAGGAUGUAUGAAAAAUGCUUCUCUACUCUCAGUGAGGCUUUAUAGAAUACACAGCCCUCUAUGCCACUCUAUGAAGAAAGCAAAGAAAAAGAUCACUCCUAAAAGCAGUGUGCUUUCCCUCGGUGGAAGUCUGUGGAGCAUGGUGAAAUCAGCCAAUCAGAACGUGCGGAGGCCCACUCUAGAGGCACACAGGAAACUAGAAUGAGUGACGCCUGAGAGUUCAAGACAGCAAGCUGCUUUGAGCCCACCAAGGAACGCUGUGACUGUUUUUGUCUUGGCCAGAUGAAUAACAUGAUCUCAUGGACAGGGAAAGUGGGAAAGGUGCAUUAGUUACAGAUACCCCAGUUCUUGUGCAACUCCCAUCUGUGUCCACCGAUCUGAACACUGAGGUUCCUAGGUGACAGAUAAUGCUCCUGGCCAACAUAGGAUCUCAUUUGAAGAUGACAGAGGAACUAUUCGUGGAUAGGCCAUUCCUUUCUGCUGUAAGAAUCAGUGAGCAAAGGAAAGAGAUUCAUGUGCCAUUUCAUUGGCUUAAGGUACUUUUCUGAUAUAACAGAAUUUUGGGGCC